AAACGGUGGUAAUGCCGGAUGCUCCGACUCCUCGCAUGGGGUGUCGGGAAAGAUUUCAUCGGUAUGGGAUGGGGUCGCGUCCUAUCAGGUAGUCGGCGGGGUAACGGCCCACCGAGCCUACGACGGGUAGCCGGCCUGAGAGGGCGACCGGCCACAUUGGGACUGAGAUACGGCCCAGACUCCUACGGGAGGCAGCAGUGGGGAAUAUUGCACAAUGGGCGCAAGCCUGAUGCAGCGACGCCGCGUGCGGGAUGACGGCCUUCGGGUUGUAAACCGCUUUUGAUCGGGAGCAAGCCUUCGGGUGAGUGUACCUUUCGAAUAAGCACCGGCUAACUACGUGCCAGCAGCCGCGGUAAUACGUAGGGUGCAAGCGUUAUCCGGAAUUAUUGGGCGUAAAGGGCUCGUAGGCGGUUCGUCGCGUCCGGUGUGAAAGUCCAUCGCUUAACGGUGGAUCUGCGCCGGGUACGGGCGGGCUGGAGUGCGGUAGGGGAGACUGGAAUUCCCGGUGUAACGGUGGAAUGUGUAGAUAUCGAAAG
rnacentral:rRNA from 1 species